rnacentral:rRNA from 1 species
CCCUUAGAUGUUCUGGGCCGCACGCGUGCUACACUGAGUGGAUCAGCGGGUCAGGUUGCGCGAAAGCGUUUCCUAAUCUUUAAAUCCGCUCGUGAUGGGGAUUGACGGUUGCAAUUUUCUGUCAUGAACGAGGAAUACCUUGUAAGCGCGGGUCAUCAUCCCGCGCUGAAUACGUCUCUGCCCUUUGUACACACCGCCCGUCGCUCCUACCGAUUGAGUGGUCCGGUGAGACUUUGGGAUCUGAGCGGAAAGAGCGUUUCGCUGUUUCUGCUCGGAAAACUCAGUCGAACCUUAUCAUUUAGAGGAAGGAGAAGUCGUAACA